CCCCUCCAGAUUCCCAGCCCCUUGAACUGAAAUUUUGGUCCGAGGGGUGAAAAAAAGGAGGAAAAUAAAACUGAAAUGGACUUGGAGUCUUCAAUGACAUAGAAGUUCAUCUCAAAUAUUU
rnacentral:snoRNA from 1 species